rnacentral:rRNA from 1 species
GAUGAACGCUAGCGGCAGGCUUAAUACAUGCAAGUCGAGGGGUAGCAGGUCUGUAGCAAUACAGAUGCUGACGACCGGCAAACGGGUGCGGAACACGUACAGAACCUUCCUUCGAGUGGGAGAUAGCCCAGGGAAACUUGGAGUAAUAUCCCAUAGGAUCAUAGAGUGGCAUCACUUAGUGAUUAAAGAUUUAUCGCUUGAAGAUGGCUGUGCGGCUGAUUAGGUAGUUGGUGUAGGUAACGGCUCACCAAGCCUUCGAUCAGUAACUGGUGUGAGGGCACGACCAGCCACACGGGAACUGAGACACGGGCCCGACUCCUACGGGAGGCAGCAGUAAGGAAUAUUGGGCAAUGGAGGCAACUCUGACCCAGCCAUGCCGCGUGGAGGAUGAAGGUCCUCUGGAUUGUAAACUUCUUUUAUUUGGGAAGAAAUGCCGAUUUUCUAAUUGGUUUGACGGUACCAGAUGAAUAAGCACCGGCUAACUCCGUGCCAGCAGCCGCCGUAAUAC